GGAACGUGCGGCUGGAUCACCUCCUU
rnacentral:rRNA from 1 species